rnacentral:lncRNA from 1 species
UUGAAUAUUGCCCGACUGCCCAAAAAACUGGGGGGCUACCGCCCCCCCCCCGCCCGGUACGCCUAUGGAUUUAUCCCCCAAUUGUCCCCAUUACCGGUUUAUCUCAAAUCUGGCCGGAAUUUUUGUCCAAAUCCGGUAAAUCCGGUUCCGGCCGGAUUUGAAAAUUCCAAAUCCGGUGCACCCCUAAUAAUGAUGAUGAUGGUAGUGAAAUACAAGUUGUGAUGAUAUUGGUGAUGCACAAGUUGUAAUGAUACUGCUGAUAAUGAAAAUAUAUUGUAUUUGUAAUGAGACAUAAAUAAUAAAGAG